rnacentral:lncRNA from 1 species
GGUGGGAUGUGGGGCUGCAGAUGCUUUCUCCUUCCAAGGCUCUUGAUCCAAAACUAUAAGGUCCCCAGAGUGUUGAGAUGCACAAGAUGCAGGUGUAAACCCACUCUUGUGUCUGACUCCUGAGGACCGGAGCUUCCAGUGGGGCCUGGGACUGCAUGCCAAUUCCCCGAACUCAGGGCCAUGUCAAGUACAUGGUGGGUAUCGCUAGAGGUGUGGUGAAUGAGCAAAUACAUGAGCAAAAGGAAGAAUGAUGAAUGAUGCUCAUCACACCCUCGGGUGAGGUGGUGCCUGCAAUGCUAGACAGAGGUGCCUGGACGAGGAUGCUGGCAGGGCCGGUGUUUGAAGCUGAUAAUGUUAAACCUCUCUGCCCAGGUGCCAGCUUGGUGACCUCAGGCAAACUGAAAGAAAGUCUGGAAGAGUUUAACUAAGGGACGAAUAUCUACACCAUGAGGUGUGGUAAGCACCACUCGGAGGGUGUCUUUCAAUCCAGGGGAGGAUGUAACCAACCAUUCUCUACAGCCUGCUUGGGUGAAUGUGCCCCAGGGCGAGUCACUUGUGGAAGGGCUGCUGUAUGUG